UGGACGUGGCCCGUGAAGGAGACAGGGACAGAUUGCUGCCAGGCACAGCUGUUUAGUGCAGACACUGCCCAAGCGUGCCAGCUGUGGAGGCCACAUCUGGGCAGUACUGUGCUCCUCGGUCCUGGUGCCCUAGCCCCGGGGGAGGUGAGGGAGCUAGGCCGCUGGGGCACCGUAUGGUCACUUCAGUGCCUUCCCACAGCUCAUGGCCGACGCUGUGGCCACCUUCCUGCAGCUGGCCGACCAGGGCCUGACUGCCAGCCUGGACCGCAGCCAGGCAGCCCAGCAGCUGGAGAAAGUCCAGGAGCUCGUGUUGAAGGUGAGGCGGGGGUGGGCGCUCAGGGUCCUGGGGAUGCAGUCGCUGGACAGCGCCGUGUCCCACAGAAGCUGUCCUCAGACCGUGCGGCGGCGCAGGGCGAGUUUGUGCGGUGCUGGCUACUUCGAAUCCUCCUGCCCUUUGUGCUCCGCUGCCUGGAGCCCAGCAGCCAAGAGGAGCUGCCCGAGCCCCAGGAGGGCGACCUUGGCACAGGCAGCAAGGCUCUGAGCACCGCGGGCAUCCUGGAGGACGUGGUCCGCGGGGCCCUGCUGCAGAGGAUUGACCGAGAGUUGCGGGAGGCCCCAGGUGUGAACACGUCCUGCGGCCCGGCCGGGCACUCGGAGCCCCUGGGAGCGGGGGCAGCAGGGGGGACUGAGGCCGGGGUCUGAGACGGCAGCCUCCUCCCGGGCCCCAGCGCCUGCACCAGAGCGGUUCCCAGGCCAGGCCACGCAGCGCCCGUUCCUCAGCUCCUGACCGGCGUCCUCUCCCCCGUCGCCCUAUGCAGUGCCCCAGUCUCCCCGCGGCCGCCCCGUCCCACUGCUUUUAUUUUGAAUCAGUGAUUAAACUGAACUUAAAAGAUCACUGGCCAUUUCUUCGUGAUUUGCGGUAUUUCUUAGUGAGCUGUCUGUGGCUUUCAGCUCCUCUACCCUGAGGGUGCUUAUCCUUUACUCACGGGUAACCAAGAGGCUUUCCGUGCCAAGGACGGGAACAGUUUGUGUUACAGGCUAUAGUUUUCUUCUCAGUUUACGGUGGGCCUGUAGGUUUGCUUCUGCUCCUAAGUGUCCCGUCCUUUCUUCUGUGUCGGUGCUGGGCUGGGCACUCCUUUUUCUGGUGCCAGGGUCUCGUGUGCCAGGCGGGCGCUCUGACUCGGGAUCAGGUUCCAGAGCUUGGGGAGCAGCCCCGGGCCAGCUGGCCCUUGUCGAUUGCCUCGGGUCACAGCCCCUCCAGCUGCUUCCGGAGCGACUUUCCUGCCUGCCUGGGGAGAGACUUUCCUGCUGUCACCGUCUCCCGCAGCGAACCUGCCUUGUCUGCGGCCCUGAAACAGGGAGACGGUGCUGCCUCAGUCUCCUCACUCCAGAGGACGCGGUGCUGAUUGUGGCAGGGAGGCUGCCGCUCUGGCCCCCCCUGACACCACCACUGUUUGCCCUGGCGUCCGAGUCCCUCCAGCUGGGAUGGGCACCGCUGUGGACAGGCACCGUGCGGCUGACUCAGGAAACCUCUCUCUGAGACCACUCUUCCCUUCCUGGCCUGGCCAGAGGCCCCAGGGGCAAACUGGAUCCUGUGGCCACCAAGCGCGCCCUGCCCCUUUCUUCUGACCCUAUGCUGCUCCAGAAGCGCCGGCCAUACUGGCUUCAUCCAGGGGGCACUGUGGGGAAGCGAGAGAGACAUGGGGUGCGUGUGCCCUGCGACCCCAGGCCACGUCUAGCUGACCAUCAUUCUACGUUAAAGAGCGAUACAAACACCAUCAGCCUGAUGGGGUGGGGCACGCUGGGACCCCAGCACUUUGGUAGGCUGAGGCAGGAGGGUCACAAGUUUGAGCCCAGCCCAGGUAAGUUUGUGGUUUAGAAUGAAAACGGAAGGACCGGGGAUUUAGCUCAGUGGCGCCGCACCUGCCUGGCAAGAGCAAGAGCCUAAGUUCGAGUCCCAGUACCAUUAAUAAAUUAAUUAAUGGGGCCAGGACGCCAGGGUGUAAGGGUCGACACCCCCCAAAGCAGGGAAACUGAGGCACAGAUCUCUGAGGUCCUCGCUGGCCGGGCGCCCUGGGGGCAAAGGCUGGGUCUCACCCACAAGGAAGUCGGACGGCGCCCAAGGCGGAGGCAGGGCGCCGGGGCACACGGUAGGCUUCAGAACCCCGUUCCAGUCCCCGGGGUCUCUGUGCGUUUAAGGCCGCAGCGCGGGCGGG
ensembl:lincRNA